UCAGCAAUGCCGCGUGUGUGAAGAAGGCCUUCGGGUUGUAAAGCACUUUUAUCGGGAACGAAAUACCAUCGGUUAAUAACCGGUGGGGCUGACGGUACCCGAGGAAUAAGCACCGGCUAACUUCGUGCCAGCAGCCGCGGUAAUACGAAGGGUGCAAGCGUUAAUCGGAAUUACUGGGCGUAAAGGGUGCGUAGGCGGUUGGUUAAGUCUGUCGUGAAAUCCCCGGGCUCAACCUGGGAAUGGCGAUGGAUACUGGCCAGCUAGAGUGUGUCAGAGGAUGGUGGAAUUUCCGGUGUAGCGGUGAAAUGCGUAAAGAUCGGAAGGAACAUCAGUGGCGAAGGCGGCCAUCUGGGACAACACUGACGCUGAAGCACGAAAGCGUGGGGAGCAAACAGGAUUAGAUACCCUGGUAGUCCACGCCCUAAACGAUGCGAACUGGAUGUUGGUCUCAACUCGGAGAUCAGUGUCGAAGCUAACGCGUUAAGUUCGCCGCCUGGGGAGUACGGUCGCAAGACUGAAACUCAAAGGAAUUGACGG
rnacentral:rRNA from 1 species